rnacentral:rRNA from 1 species
UACGUAGGACGCGAGCAUUAUCCGGAAUUACUGGGCGUAAAGAGCGCGCAGGCGGUUUGGUAAGUCAGUUAUGAAAGCUCUGGGCUAAACUCGGAGAGGCUGACUGAUACUGCCAGACUUGAGUGGAGAAGAGGGGUGUAGAAUUCCGCGUGUAGUGGUGAAAUGCGUAGAUAUGCGGAGGAAUACCAGUGGCGAAGGCGACACCCUGGUCUCUAACUGACGCUGAGGCGCGAAAGCAUGGGGAGUGAACGGG